rnacentral:lncRNA from 1 species
GACACUCUCUGUAGAUCUCACAAACAAGACUAUCAACUUUGGAGCAGAGUGAAAAUAUCUUCAUUUCCUGCAUCUCUAUCUAGGGUGUCCCCUUAACCAUCAUACUCCUGACAGGAACCAUCCCGUGUACACAAAUUUCUAGGAAAUCCUCUGGGAAUAAUAACUAGAUUUCACCAAAACUGUAUAUACAGUUACUGUGAAGACUGUGGGGGCUCACCCGCCCCCUCCCCCAGCCGCUCAGGCGUGCUCCCUCUGUCCCCAAGGGCCUCUCUCUAUUAAGCCCUGGGCUUAAAUCUGUUUCCAGAGGUCUCUUAAUAAAGUCUAAUCCUGAGUCAUAUUGGCUCGCCUUGAAAUUCAUUCUGCAAAGGAUCCAGCUUUCCCUCCGUGGAUCUCUAAAGGGAACUCUUCAGGUUGCUGAGGGCAACAAUUGGGUCAGCAUCUCUGUCUCCAUGGCUGGGGCACACCCACACAAGGGUAGAGGGCGCAGCUGUUCAGCUCUAACGGUGCUGAGUUUCCAGCUGUAUAACCCAGUGAGAUUUACCCUUUCUCAACAGUGCCCCCAACACAUCCCUUGUUCCUCUUCUGUCUUCUCCAGCUCCCAAGAAAGAUCUUGUGGUGCACAGUCACGGCUGCUGGACAGCUCCCUCCACCACCUUUGGGGAGGGGGGAAUCAGAGAAAAUGUCUUCACGAUUCCUGUGCCCUGGAAUAGACUGGGACAUAUUCUGCUAAAAGACUGCAGUCCUCUCAAACUUUAUUCUGCUUCUUCAUUUUCCAGAAAAGCUCAGGACCUUUCAGUAUCUUUCUCCAGAAGAUGAAAUGAGCCCAUAAACAGCCCGGUGUUCAUUCUGGCCAGCAAAACGCACUUCAGAUUUCAGGUAAAGGUGAUGACAGAAAAGAAACAGGUCUACCUGCUCGAAGUGAAUUUUGUGGGGGAGGGGGUUCGAGACAGGGUUUCUCUGCAUAGCCCUGGCUGUCCUGGAACUCACUUUGUAGACCAGGCUGGCCUCAUGUGUACCACCACGCCCGGCUCUCGAAGUGUAUUUUUAAGAUAAGGUGUGUGUGUGUGUGUGUGUGUGUGUGUGUGUGUGUGUGUAUGUGUGUGUGUGUGUGUGUGUGUAUGUAUGUGUGUGUGUGUGUGUGUAUGUGUGUGUGUGUGUGUAUGUGUGUGUGUGUGUGUGUAUGUGUGUGUGUGUGUAUGUGUGUGUGUGUGUGUAUGUGUGUGUGUGUGUGUGUUAUGUGGUUAUGCCAGAAGAGAGUACCAGAUCAUAAGGAGCUGGAGUUCUGAAUGGUUGUGAUCUUUCUCUCUAUUUCUCUCUCUCUCUCUCUCUCUCUCUCUCUCUCUCUCACACACACACACACACACACACGGAGAGAGAGACACAGAGAGAGAGACACAGAGAGAGAAAGAGUCAGAGUGAGAGGUAUACAGCGGGAGAGAGAAACAAAGAGAGUUAGAGAGAGACACAGAGAAAGACAGAGACAGAGAGAGGAGUAUCUUUCAGAGCAGAUGAAAUAAUGAAGUAAGAUUCCAAAACCAUCACAACAGAGGCAGCUGCUUCAGAAAGAGCCUGAAAGACUGCGCUCACUGCGUGGAGGCCCUAUCACCACUACCCACACCCACAUCCACUUACUCCUGCGACCGCAGACAGUUAGCUAUGUACUUGGCAGUUCCUCGUACCUAUGCCAGGGACCAUGGUGGGAGUCAGAACAUCAGCUGAAUAGCAGCUUUCCCCAGUGGUGACAGUUAAUAAGAGCAAAACCCACCGGGACAGUCCUAACGGCACCACGGUUGGCUGUGCACGGCCAGCCAUCACGCAGGUGAGCACUAAUGUAUAAAGAAACCAGAUCGGUGUCACACUUGUUCAGGGUAACAGCCAGUCUGCACCACAUCAAAUGUCCACACCUGGAAGGGCCGCAGUCACAGAGACAGGAAGUGGAUCAGUGGUUGCCAGGGACUGGCAGGUGUUCAGAGGACACAGUGCUUCAGUAUGGAGAUGGGUAGUGGUUGACUGUGGCACAGUAAUAUGAGUGGACAUUUUAAAGCCGUUGAAACAAGGGCUGCAAAGAUGGCUCAGCCGGGAAGAGCACCUGCUGCUCUCGUAGAGAACUAGGUUGGGUUCCCAGCACAUGAGCGAGGUAGCUCACAGCUGUAACCACAGCUUCCGACUCCUGUCUCGGGAUCAGACAGACAUCCUCUUCUGGCUUGCGCCCCGGUACUCAUGUGUGCAUACACACAGACACCUAAACACACAUACAGGAUGUUCAGAAGCUCAACCACUCAACCUCGGCUACAUAGAAAGUUUGCGGUCAGCUUGGCCUACUUGAGACCCUGCCUUAAAAUAACAGUCUCAAAAUUGAUGCUGAUGCUGAUGAUGUCGGGGAUGAUGGCACCUGCGUGUGAUCCCAGGGCUCAAAAGACAGGAGCAGGAGGAUCAGUAAAGUUCAAGGCCAGCCUAGUCUGUGUAGUCGUCAGACGUAGGCCAGCGAGAGCUACCUGAGUGAGGCUCAAAAGAAAGGAAAGAAAAAGAAAGUUAAAAUAGUAAAUAGUACAUAUUCUGUGGUUUAGAUUUUUGUACAAUUACAAAAUUAAUUAUAUACAUAAAAAAGUUUAUAAUCGCUGGGAAGUCCACCCAAGAAUUCAUCUAGGCACGUUUCCCAUUACAUUAUAUAUUAAAUUAUUUGGUGGCAACUAUGGUAGGCAGGGGUGCCAUGGGUAUGCAGAAGCCAGAGGACUAUGGCUGCCUUCCUUUUUCAAUUUCUGUCUUAUUCCUUUGAGACGUGGCCAUCACUGUGUGGCACACAUGUGCGGGAGAGGAUUGCUACCUGUGUGUGUUUGGGCGCGGAGACCUGAAUGACGUCCCAUGCCUUCUCCCUGUUCUCAUUUUAUUGACGCAGAGUCUCUUGCAGACCCUGUUUGUCUUGCUAACCAGCUUGUCCCAGGAAGUUUCCAUCUGCCUCUGACUGCUGGGAUUGCAGGUGGAUCCACACCGCCUGACUUUUAAGUGGGUUCUGCAGAUCUAAACUCUGGUCCUCACACAUUCACGACAAGUGAUUUAUCCACUGACUCAUCUCCCUGGGCCCCGCCAUUUUUCUUCUUCCAGCUAGACAGUGAGUCACGGGCACACAUAGCUAUGCUCUGGUUUCUAUGUGGGCACUGGACUUGCCUUGGCACUCUUAGGGCAGGGUGGACUAUGUUAUAGAUUUAAUUGUCCUAUCAACAUCGGGAGGCCAUUUUAUACCUUGUGUGUGUGUGGUGGGGGACAAAAAGUAGAUAAAAGUUCAGGUGCUGGGUAAAAUAUACUAAAUAUUGGUAGUUCAAUAUACUCACCUAUUAUGCCAAAGAGGACAAUGUCAAUUCACUGGGGGUAAAAUGGAGCGUUUUCCGUGCAUAGAAAUUAAAUUUUAUUUUGGCCAUAUUUGAGAGUUUGCAUCUCAGUAUGUUAUUUACUGUGUCAUAGUAUAAAUUUUAAAAUCUGCUCACUAAGUUUUGUGUGAGAAACAACUCUGAUAAGUCUUUUUCUUGAAAGUGAAAUUAGGGCCUACAAGAUGGCUCAGCAGAUAAAGACACCUGCCA